CCACGGUAUGGGCUGGCCAAAGAGAGUGU
rnacentral:sRNA from 1 species